rnacentral:rRNA from 1 species
UACGUAGGGUGCAAGCGUUGUCCGGAAUUAUUGGGCGUAAAGAGCUUGUAGGCGGUUUGUCGCGUCUGCUGUGAAAUUUCGGGGCUCAACCCCGAACUUGCAGUGGGUACGGGCAGACUAGAGUGUGGUAGGGGAGACUGGAAUUCCUUGGUGUAGCGGUGAAAUGCGCAGAUAUCAGGAGGAACACCGAUGGCGAAGGCAGGUCUCUGGGCCACUACUGACGCUGAGAAGCGAAAGCAUGGGGAGCGAACAGG